GAUGAACGCUGGCGGCGUGCCUAACACAUGCAAGUCGAACGAAGCACCUUACCUGAUUCUUCGGAUGAAAGUUUGGUGACUGAGUGGCGGACGGGUGAGUAACGCGUGGGUAACCUGCCCUGUACAGGGGGAUAACAGCUGGAAACGGCUGCUAAUACCGCAUAAGCGCACGAGGGGACAUCUCCUUGUGUGAAAAACUCCGGUGGUACAGGAUGGGCCCGCGUCUGAUUAGCUGGUUGGCAGGGUAACGGCCUACCAAGGCAACGAUCAGUAGCCGGUCUGAGAGGAUGAACGGCCACAUUGGAACUGAGACACGGUCCAAACUCCUACGGGAGGCAGCAGUGGGGAAUAUUGCACAAUGGGGGAAACCCUGAUGCAGCAACGCCGCGUGAGUGAAGAAGUAUUUCGGUAUGUAAAGCUCUAUCAGCAGGGAAGAUAAUGACGGUACCUGACUAAGAAGCACCGGCUAAAUACGUG
rnacentral:rRNA from 1 species